rnacentral:lncRNA from 1 species
GAUUUGCAAGCCACAAAGGCACAGGAAAAACAAUGGAAGAAGGCAAGAGAACUCCAUGUUAAAGAACUUUCCCAACAACAUGUGCAUUAUCUUUUGCACUAGAUCUACAAAUGGUUGUUGCUUCAACUAAGAUACCACUAUUUUGGCAAGACUUUUCUGCAUCUUUCGUGUAAAAUUGAAGACCAUUUAUUACAAAACUAGAAUAUGACAGACUGGCAUCUAGGGCCACGUGCAAGCCACUUUAAAGUAUUUGCAACAUUGUCGAGAAACAAUUGACCUGUAAUCUGUUAUUAUUAUAAACAUGUUAGGAAUAAAAGAAUAAACAUCUAUGUUAAACACUAAUCUUGUUGAUAUAUGUACUUCAACCUUAUCGUCCAACCAGGCAGCAAAAGUGUCAAUAUGUUUCUUAUGCAACAAAUUCUCAUUUCUUUGAAGUCAUUUGUCAAAACUCUUGAGUUCAUCCAUAUGCGUCCUAAGUGGAAAACAAUAUAUCAAGAAAUUAAUAUGGUCGAAGAACUUAAAACCUAACAAAGUAGAUAUGUCAUGAACAUACUAUACGUAUAGAGCCACUUCUAUACUAUUUAGCAGCACAUAGCAAGGGGCAACUUUCAGCAUCUCAUCAAAUAGUACAAGUGGCUUCCUUUUAGAACUUGUACACCCUGCAACUAAGAAGUCACUUUCAUAUUCUUCAUUGCACGCAAACUUAGAGCCUAUUUCAAAUGCUUGUUUAAUGUAUUUGCUACAAAACAAUGCAUUUUUUUCAACAAUAUAUCAUUCAGCUAUGCAUCCUUCAGGUCAUGAACGAUUCAUGACGUAUUCUUUCAACACUUUCAUAUAUCUACACAUUUUCCAAAAAUCUAAUAAAAUAAAAAUAAAUUUGAUAGUGAAUUUAACUACUAUGAUAAGUUAAGGAAUACCACCUCUCAAAUGGGUACAUCCAACAAUAUUGAACUGAUCCACAUAGACAAGCUUCUCUUCCAUAUGGAUUGUUAAAUAAACAUUAUAUCAAAAAAGAAACUUUUAUUAUUUGAGUGUCAUUUAAGUUGUGUUGGCAUUCCAUCUAUUCCGAACAUCCUCUUAGAUCUUGGUAUGAUAGGGAAAUAAUACAAGACUUUUGCUAGAAUUUUAUUUUUAUUUUUUUGAAAUUUCUUAGUCCAUUGGUUAACUUUUUAUUUAUAACAACCACAUUUUAGACAUAAUUCUGCAUGUUCAAGCUCCUUCCUAUAUAGACAACAACCAUUCAAGUAAACAUGUAUCUUAUCAUAGGUAAGAUCAAAUGCUUUGACAAGUUUUUCAUAUCAUAAAAUGAGUUAGAAAGUGUAUUAUUCUGUGACAGCAUGCCCAGCACAAGAUUUAUGAGUUCAUCGAAACCACUAUUUGAUAGAUCAUGUGUAGCUUUAUAUUUAAACAUAGCAACUGAAGCUGACAUCUUCGUAAAUGCCAUACAACUAGGAUACAAAAGGAUUUUCGCAUCACUAACUAAACGUUGAAUGUCUUCCCCUGUUCCAUCAUGAGGAUUUUCAGGAUGUACAUCAUGUUAUGCAUAGAAGUCCCUAAAUAUCCUACAUGACUCGGGCAUUUCUACAUCAACCAAAUUUGAUUUAUUUGGUCGCUCUCCAUUAAAUACCCAAACAGUAUAUGUAGAAUCUAUACCCUUAAUAACCAAAUGCUCAUACAAUGUUUCAUAAUAAUGAUGCUUUAGAUUCUUAUACAUAAUACAAGGGCAUCUUAUCAUUCCUGAAUUUAGAUUUUCACAAGCUAGUUCAACAAAAUUUCGUGCUCUAUCUCUGUAUUGUUCUGAAAAUCUACGACAACAAUUUUAUGAUCAAUUGAUAUUAUUGUUUAGAUUUUGUAACUAGAUUUAUAAGAUUUUAUUAUAGAUAAUAACCUUGAUAAUUGCAGCCAUUCUUUGUCUAUUAUGAUACUAUCAAACAUUGAAUAGCAACAAUUCAAAUUGUAAAGUAAACUCGAUAAUUUCUAAUACAAACAAAUGUGUGGGAGCAUAAGAU